CUUUUGUCACUUCUCUGCUAUUUUUAGGGUUUGGAAGCAAGAGCGAUUGAUCAUGAGAACACGUAGCAAAAAGACCAAAACCGUGAACAACAACAAGAAUCUACAAAAGUCGGAAGAUAAAAACACGUUUGAUCAACUGCCUCUGGACCUAUUGAUCGAGAUAUCUAGGAGGUUGCCUUUGAAAUCUGUAGCUAGGUUUCUCACACUAUCCAAGUUAUGUGCAACAACUAUCCGCAGUCCAAGCUUCAUCAAAUCCUUCCCGUCGCAGCCUUGUACCCUAAUCGCUGUCGCCCCUGUAAUCAAUUUCCCUCCCAGGCGUUUUAAAUCUAGGGGACACCAAAAUUUGUACUUCUUCUCAUCAUCAUCGUCUUUUCUAUCACGUUUGACAUGUCCGUCCCCGUAUCCUAAUUACGUAGAGUACCAUUAUCAUUAUGUUAAUGGAUUGAUAAGCGUUGGAUAUGGUCGAGAGCAAAUCGUAACUAACCCCAGUACUGGUAGAUUCAUCUCUUUACCAAGUGUCAGAACAAGGAGAAGGGUCGUAAAAAGUUUUUUCGGGUAUGAUCCUGUUACUGAUCAAUACAAAGUGUUGUCCAUGACGGAGAGACUUCAUGGCCAUAACCAAGAUCCAUCAUCUCAACAUCAAGUGUUCACACUGGGAGAAAAAAAGCCAUGGAGAAUGAUAGAUAGUACUAGCAUUCCUGAUCACCGUACGUCCUUGGUCUAACGGUGUGUGCAUAGAUGGCGUUGUGUAUUAUGUUGCUAAAACGGGGCAAGGUAUGUCACAACUGAGCUUAAUGAGAUUUGAUUUGAGGGCUGACAAUAUGAAUCUUUUUACUAGUUUACCUGAAGAGAUUCGAACUCCAACAAUAUAUAGUGACACUUUGAUAAACUACAAGGGGAAACUAGCCAUGGCCGCUCCAGUUACAUCAUUUACAUUCGAUGUGUGGGUUCUGGAUCAGGAUAAAUGUUUGAAGAAAAUAACUUUCAGUAUUGAACCUUGGAAGAGUUUAUUUCGUUGUUUACGCGUCAGAGGCACUACUUGUACGGGUGAGUUUAUUCUCGCACCAUCGUACUAUUCUGAUGAGUUUUAUGUCUUCCAUUACAAUCCCGACAAGAAUAGUUUUACCAAGAUUAAGAUUGAUCAAGGUUCCGCACACUGUGAGUUCAAGGGUCGUAGUUAUAAAGCAUUUGUCUUUUCGGAUUACAGAGAGAGUGUUAGAUUGUUGUCGGAGAGACAAUUCAUGAUUUGAUACCCAUAAUCUUGUUUUUUGUACUUUCGUUAAUUACUCUGUUGAUACUUAUGCUUAUUUUCAAGUCUCUCGUUUUUUUGUUUUUUUUGUUUAAUUAAGUAUACUACCUAAAUGCACUAUUUGUGUAUAUGGAGAUCGGACAUAGUAACCAGGUUGCAGGGUUGACUCAAGUAUUCGGCAUCACAAAAGACAGUUUUGGUAACCUAUCUACGCUUAUUAUCCUAUGCAAUCUUAGCUCAUUGCUUCCUCUGCCUCUUCUCGGUCUUUUACCGCGAGAUUCUCCAGAUACUCUUACUAACGAUGAUGCAGACAUUGAGAUGAAGUCCAAUUAAGGAACGUGGUGAUAAUCUCAAAUGUUAAAUGUCAUACCUUUUUGGAGUUGUGUGUAUUCAGUUCCAACCCUGUGAUUACUUGAGAAGAAUGAAGCAGGGUUUUAACUUGAAAACUACUUCAUUACCCAUAUCAUGUAACCAAAAUGUUGCAAUUCUAAAAAACAAUAAACUCUUUGUUAAAUUGCAGAAACCUACUUCAAUAUGCAAAAUUAGUAAUGACAGUAAUCUCUACAAUUAAGUUUCUAACACGAUUCUAGAUUUGAUUCGACGUACAUCAUU